GGGCCUGCGUCCGAUUAGCUAGUUGGUGGGGUAACGGCCUACCAAGGCACCGAUCGGUAGCUGGUCUGAGAGGAUGAUCAGCCAGACUGGGACUGGGACACGGCCCAGACUCCUACGGGAGGCAGCAGUUAGGAAUUUUGGGCAAUGGCCGCAAGGCUGACCCAGCAACGCCGCGUGGGGGAUGAAGGCUCUCGGGUUGUAAACCCCUUUUCCCAGGGACGAUAGUGACGGUACCUGGGGAAUAAGCCCCGGCUAACUACGUGCCAGCAGCCGCGGUAAUACGUAGGGGGCGAGCGUUGUCCGGAUUCAUUGGGCGUAAAGCGCGUGCAGGCGGCUUGGUAAGUCGGCCGUGAAAGCGCCAGGCUUAACCUGGCGAGGUCGGGCGAGACUGCUAAGCUCGAGGCCGGUAGAGGGCGGUGGAAUUCCGGGUGUAGUGGUGGAAUGCGUAGAGAUCCGGAGGAACACCAGUGGCGAAGGCGGCCGCCUGGGCCGGUCCUGACGCUGAGACGCGAAAGCGUGGGGAGCAAUCCGGAUUAGAUACCCGGGUAGUCCACGCCGUAAACGAUGGGCACUAGGUGUCGGGGGUAUCGACCCCUCCCGGUGCCGGAGCUAACGCAAUAAGUGCCCCGCCUGGGGAGUACGGCCGCAAGGCUAAAACUCAAAGGAAUUGACGG
rnacentral:rRNA from 1 species